rnacentral:rRNA from 1 species
UACGAAGGGUGCAAGCGUUACUCGGAAUUACUGGGCGUAAAGCGUGCGUAGGUGGUUCGUUAAGUCUGCCGUGAAAGCCCCGGGCUCAACCUGGGAAUUGCGAUGGAGACUGCAAGGCUAGAAUCUGGCAGAGGGGGGUAGAAUUCCACGUGUAGCAGUGAAAUGCGUAGAGAUGUGGAGGAACACCGAUGGCGAAGGCAGCCCCCUGGGUCAAGAUUGACGCUCAUGCACGAAAGCGUGGGGAGCAAACAGG